rnacentral:rRNA from 16 species
AGAUGCGAUCAUACCAGCACUAAAGCACCAGAUCCCAUCAAAACUCCGAAGUUAAGCGUGCUUGGGCGAGAGUAGUACUAGGAUGGGUGACCUCCUGGGAAGUCCUCGUGUUGCAUUCC